CCUACGGGUGGCUGCAGUGAGGCAUAUUGGUCAAUGGCCGAGAGGCUGAACCAGCCAAGUCGCGUGAGGGAAGACGGUCCUACGGGUUGUAAACCUCUUUUGUCGGGGAGCAAAGACUGUCACGUGUGACUCAUUGAGAGUACCCGAAGAAAAAGCAUCGGCUAACUCCGUGCCAGCAGCCGCGGUAAUACGGAGGAUGCGAGCGUUAUCCGGAUUUAUUGGGUUUAAAGGGUGCGCAGGCGGAAGAUCAAGUCAGCGGUAAAAUCGAGAGGCUCAACCUCUUCGAGCCGUUGAAACUGGUUGUCUCGAGUGGGUGAGAAGGAUGCGGAAUGCGUGGUGUAGCGGUGAAAUGCAUAGAUAUCACGCAGAACUCCGAUUGCGAAGGCAGAAUGCCGGCGCUCAACUGACGCUCAGGCACGAAAGCGUGGGUAUCGAACAGGAUUAGAUACCCGAGUAGUC
rnacentral:rRNA from 1 species